AUGCAUCUAUUGACAUACCUGGAGCAGUUACUGUCUGCUGCAAAGAUUUCCACUACAGAUGCCAGAGAAAAGUGUCCUUGCCCUUUCUGUCUGUUGGAUUGUGGCAGAGAAGAUUGAAUGGGGGAAUACAGAA